rnacentral:sRNA from 1 species
AAAUUUAAAGUUCUACCGUGCUGCACAAUAACGGGUUAUGAUCUAGCUCUAUAGAUAUUUUUCCAAGACCGAUAUGUAUGAUUAU